ensembl:snRNA U6 U6 spliceosomal RNA
GUGCUGACUUCAGCAGUACAUAUACUAAAAUUGGGACAGUUCAGAGAAAUUUAACAUGGCCCCUGUGCAGUGAUGACCCAGAAAUUCAUGAAGUGUUCCAUAUUUUU